GAGUGUGGGAUCGGGGGUGGUGAGAUGGAAAGUAUAGAGGGAGGGAGGCAAGGAGGGAGGGGGAGAGUGUGAGAUCGGGGGUGGUGAGAUGGAAAGUAUAGAGGGAGGGAGGCAGGGAGGGAGGGGGAGAGUGUGGGAUCGGGGGUGGUGAGACGGAAAGUAUAGAAGAAAGAUCAAAUUGCUCAUAAGUUUUACAUCAACUCCUCUAGGUAUAUAUUAUCAAACAGGUCGUAACUUACACACACACAUAUGGCAAAGUUUUCGUAGAGGUUGUGUUUUUCUUUUUCCGUUGGUAGUUUUAAGAGCCUAGUGAUAAUUUGUAAAGGUCUUUGAACCAUUAAUGUGAAAAACGCACACGACCUCCCCCCCUCCCCUCCAAGUCUCUUUUGUGGCAUUUGGAAAUAUUUGUUGGGAGAGGCGAGUGACUGGAAAUUCGGACCCUAAUGAUAAAAAUAGCUGCCACAAUCGUAGGAAUGUAAAAAAAAAUGCAGGCAAACAAUAUUAGUGAUUCCCGUGCACGCGAAACAAACACCAGAGGCCUAACACACAGAGGUCACCAAACUCUUCGCCGGACUGACCCAGAUCUUUGUCAGAGGAGUGGAGUCGAGGCGGACAGUUCCAGAAUCCGGGGAGAGUGCAUUCAUAAUUUAGUGUGGCUCGCGUAGGGGUGGAAGAGACGCAUCUCCAGCACAGACAUAGGCUUGCGGUGCGCCUUUGUUGAGUUUAUAAGAACAUAACAUAAGAACAUAAGAACGUAAGGAGUCUGCAAGAGACCGGUUCUCCUAUACAAGGCAGCUCCUGUACACUCAGAUGUACAGAUGCUUGCGGUGUUCGUAUUAAGUUUAUGAAAUACAGAUGGUGGUCGUAUGUUGAAGAAGAGAUGCCUUUGGUAGUCGUAUGUUGAGGUAGAGAUGCCUGUGGUGGUCGUAUGUUGAGGUAGAGAUGCCUGUGGUGGUCGUAUGUUGAGGUAGAGAUGCCUGUGGUGGUCGUAUGUUGAGGUAGAGAUGCCUGUGGUGGUCGUAUGUUGAGGUAGAGAUGCCUGUGGUGGUCGUAUGUUGAGGUAGAGAUGCCUGUGGUGGUCGUAUGUUGAGGUAGAGAUGCCUGUGGUGGUCGUAUGUUGAGGUGGAGAUGCCUGUGGUGGUCGAAUGUUGAGUUUAUGGUGUACAGAUGCUUGUGAAGGUCGUAUGUGGAGCUUAUGAUGUUUGUACGAUGCUUAGGAGGAGAGUACUGAGAGCGGGUGUUUGGUGUGGUGAGAUGGGAAGCGUGGAGGGAGGGAGGCAAUUAAUGAUGUAAGAUGUGGGCCAGAGUAACCCCCCUCUCCUCUACAUCCGAAAUUGACCUCACACCACGCCAUACCAAAGUUCUGAAACGGGCACGCGAGAGCAGUGUUUAGGGUGCGCGAUGUGUGUCUCAGAGCAGCUGUUUGGUGCAAUAGUCACCCUAGGACACACGACGGUACCGGAAAAGGAAUGGGAGAGUGUUUUCAAUUUAACUCAUCGAACUUAUCAUGUGAAGUCUCUGGAAUAUACGAAAUUAACAGUAGCAUUUGUUUAUAUUUUCUUCAUUUUUAGUUUAUAUUCUGAGUUAGGGGGCUAAGAAUAUUUUUUUUUUUUAAAGCAAAGGAAGCAGCUCAAGGGAAAAAUAUAUAUAUAAAAAAUAAUCCGCUAGUACUGUUCAUAUAAAAGAGAACAGAGAUGAGUGGCCAAAAGAAAGGUGAAUUUGGGAUGGAAAGGAGAGGGUGGUUAGUCUGGUCCACAUCUCACAUUAUUCAUUCCCUCCCUCCCGCUAUACUUUUCAUCUCAACACCAAACCCUAGAUCUCACAACUCUCCCCUCCCUCCCUCCAUCCAUCCCUCUCUCUAUACUUUCCAUCUCAACACCAAACCCUUGAUCUCACAACUCUCCCCCUCUCCCUCCCUCCAUCCAUCCCUCUCUCUAUACUUUCCAUCUCAACACCGAACCUUAGAUCACACAACUCUUCCCUCCCUCCCUCCCUCCAUCCAUCCCUCUCUCUAUACUUUCCAUCUCAACACCGAACCCUUGAUCUCACAACUCUCCCCUCCCUCCCUCCCUCUCUCUAUACUUUCCAUCUCAGCACCAAACCCUAGAUCUCACAACUCUCCCUCCCUCCAUCCAUCCCUCUAUAUUUUCCAUCUCACCCGCGAACCCUAAAUCUCACAACUCUCCUCUUCCUCCCUCCCUCCAUCCAUCCCUCUCUCUAUACUUUCCAUCUGUCCACCGAACCCCAAAUCCACCGAUCUCACAACUCUCCCUCUCCCUCCAUUCCUCUAUGCCUUCCAUCUUACCACCCUAACCUAACUUAACCUAACCUCAAACGCUCCCUCUCCCACCUUUUCCAUCUACCGCCACCAAACACCCUUCACUACUCUCCCGCCUCGUACUCAUCCCCCAUAUCUCCGUACUGGAUCCGGGUCUUCAUGGAUCACCCCUUCAGGAGAUUCCAUUCGCCAUAUAGAGGCAGAACACCUUGGCGCUGAUCUCGAGGAAUAGUGAAAGUUAUCGCGGUAUAAAAAGUGUCCAAAUGAUAUUGUAUUGCCGGGAAGGUGGAGGCAGGGCAGUACGAAACACACACACACACACACACACACACACACACACACACACACACACACACACACACACACACACACACACACACACACACACACACACA